rnacentral:rRNA from 1 species
GAUGAACGCUGGCGGCGUGCCUAAUACAUGCAAGUCGAGCGAACAGACGAGGAGCUUGCUCCUCUGACGUUAGCGGCGGACGGGUGAGUAACACGUGGAUAACCUACCUAUAAGACUGGGAUAACUUCGGGAAACCGGAGCUAAUACCGGAUAAUAUAUUGAACCGCAUGGUUCAAUAGUGAAAGACGGUUUUGCUGUCACUUAUAGAUGGAUCCGCGCCGCAUUAGCUAGUUGGUAAGGUAACGGCUUACCAAGGCAACGAUGCGUAGCCGACCUGAGAGGGUGAUCGGCCACACUGGAACUGAGACACGGUCCAGAAUCCUAAGGGAGGCAGCAGUAGGGAAUCUUCCGCAAUGGGCGAAAGCCUGACGGAGCAACGCCGCGUGAGUGAUGAAGGUCUUCGGAUCGUAAAACUCUGUUAUUAGGGAAGAACAAAUGUGUAAGUAACUAUGCACGUCUUGACGGUACCUAAUCAGAAAGCCACGGCUAACUACGUG